AUGCCCCUCUCACUACAUAAGAACCACGCCCUUCUUCUCUCUUCCUCAAAUAGCUCCUUCCUGUUUCAAGGCUGCUGCUCACAUUGGUCCCUCUGCUUGGUACCUUCUUCCCACAGAUCUUUGCAUAAUGAACUCUUUCUUAUUUUUCAGGUUCUAGCUCAUCUGUUGCCUCCUCAUGGAAGAGGAAUGAAUGAGUGAAUGAUGACUGGAUCAGACACAGCUGGGUUUGACAUCUGGCCCUACACUUACAAGCCAAGUAACCUAGAAAAGUCAUGGAUUCAACAAGAGGCAGGAGGACCAGAGUGACCACCCUCUGCUGGAAUGACUACCACUAGGAGUCCCAGGACCAUGGAGAACACCAUCUGGUGGCUCAACAGUUAAGCUCUCAGCUGCUAACCAGAAGGUUGACGGUUUGAACCCACCCAGUAGCUCUGUGGAAGAAAGACCUGGCGAUCUGCUUCUGUAAAGAUUACAGCCUAGAAAACCCUAUGGGGCAGUUCUACUCUUUCACAUGGAUCACUGUGAAUAAGAAACUGACUCCACAGCACUUAACAACAACACCCACAGAACUUCAUCGUGUGUGGCUCUCCUAUAAUUUAAUUAACCAAUCACCAACUGCUGAGCACAUAGGUUGCUUCUGACUUUGCACGGCUAAUUGCAUUGGCAUAGUAAGCCUUCUUGCACGUACAUCCACAAGCCUGAUUUUUGGAAUCUGGAGGUUUCUCCUGAUGGGCUGUUAUCCAUGUGCACAUUCUUUGAGUGAGCAGCAGGCACAUGCUUUGCCAAGCCAGCGAAAUAAUUGCAACCAGAGCUAAAGAUGAGGGCAAGUUCCUGAUGCAGCACCUUGUGCUGUCCAUUAAUAGGGCUGAAUGAUGCUCCAACGCCUUAAAUCUGCAGGCCUGUCUAAUUUUAGAAGGAAACGGAUGGUGUCCAUCCUGGAGUCAGUGUUUGGAAACAUACAACAAAAGGAAAGCUUUAUUAACACUGGAAAUGUACUCUCAAUUCAGGUUUCCUUUUCAACACCCGUCUUGUUCAUCUCACAGCUCAAUGAACUGUUAACGUCACAUGUAUCUUUUGUUCCAGCAGCGAAUCCAGUUACUCUAGGCUUCUGCUAACUGCAGACAGUUGAGAUUUAGUUUUCCCAGGGAGCAAAAGAAAAGAGCAAGAGAUUAAAUUGUGUAGAUGGUCUUGGCAGGGCUGAGGUGGGGGUGGUGGGGGGGCACACCUUGGUCUUUGAGCCAUGUGGCAUCACAUUCUAUCUUCUUAUAGAUUGUAAACUGUAGAUCCAUUUUCCUCUGUUGAUGGGCUUGGAAGUUACACGGAUCUGGGUAUCUGUAUGCCCCUGGACACGUUAUUCAGACUUCCUGAGACUUAGUUCUUGCACCCAUAACAAAGUAAAACUGCCUCAUAGGGUUUCCAAAGAGUGGCUGGUGGUGGAUUUGAAAUCCAUAACAGAGAACCUCUAAUCUAGGCACAGAGUCCCUGGGUGGUACAAAUGGUUAAUGCGCUUGGCUGCUAACUGAAAGAGUGGAGGUUUGAGUCCAUCCAAAGGCAUGGUGGAAGAAAGGCCUGGCGAUCUAUUUUCAUAAGAUUAUAGCCACUGAAAGCUCUAUGGAGCACAGUUCUACUCUGACACACAUGGGGUUGCCAUGAGUCAGAAUUGACUCGACAGCUGUUGGUUUGGUUUCAGUUGAGACACUGUGGAAGUCUAAAGUCCCCUGAGGACUUCUGAGAAUUCCCUGGCUGGGUUAGGGUGAGUGGAAAAGUGCUGAGUUGACUGAGGCCACUCCCUGUGCACUUGUGGUGAAGCUGAGAGUCAUCAGGAUUCCAGAAAGCGACACUUUUCCCUUCAGGACCAGGGUAUAGGUGCAUCAUGUCACUCUGAUUUCCCUUGUAGAUAAAUCCGCCCAGAUGACAAAGUUAGAUUAUGACAAAUGGCGGUUUGUAGGUGGAGGUCAGGAUACUGGCUCCCACUCGUCUGGAUAGGCCUGAUAUCCUCCUUGACUCACCCUUGAAGGCCUUUUGCGCUGACAUCGGUCCCUGCCUCUAAUGCUUGCUCUUAAGUCUCCCUGAGUCCCUGUCAGAACCUUUUCUUGCCUAUCCCAAUGCAGUGGUGUAACGCGUUUGGGAGGGGAAGAAGCACGUCAGAGCUUUCACUGCACAUUUCAAGUGCGGAAGGGCCCUCUCAGCUGUGGUUGCCUUCUCUGGAGUCUACCCG